GACAGGGGCCCCAAGCGCUAGGCGGAAUCACUGGGCUUAAAGCGUGUGUAGGCGGACGCCUAAGUGUCUUGUGAAAUCCCACGGCUCACCCGUGGAACUGCUGGGCAUACUGGGCGUCUUGGGCCAACUAGGGGCAGCCGGAACAAGCGGUGGAGCGGUGAAAUGCGUAGAUAUCGCUUGGAACGCCGAAGGUGAAAACAGGCUGCUGGGGUUGUGCCGACGCUGAGACACGAAAGCCAGGGGAGCAAACGGG
rnacentral:rRNA from 1 species